rnacentral:rRNA from 1 species
AUUCCAGCUCCAAAAGCGUAUAUUGAAGUUGCUGCGGCUAAACAGCUCGUAGUUGGAUUUCUGCCAAGGACGACCGGUCUGCCCACUGGGUGUGUAUCUGGUUCGGCCUGGGCACCUUCUUGGAGAACGUAUCUGCACUUGACUGUGUGGUGCGGUAUCCAGGACCUUUACUUUGAGGAAAUUAAAGUGCUUCAAGCAGGCACACGCCUUGAAUACAUUAGCAUGGAAUAUUAAGAUAGGACCUCGGUUCUAUUUUGUUGGUUGUUAGAACUGUGGUAAUGAUUAAUAGGGAUCGCUGGGGGCGUUCGUAUUUAAUUGUCAGAGGUGGAAUUCUUGGAUUUGUUAAAGACGGACUACUGCGAAAGCAUUUGCCAAGGAUGUUUUCAUUA